AGCAAUAGAAAAUGAGCACAAGGAAAUAAUUAAGGCUUGAGAUUUUGGGUGUUUUCGGUAACUAGACGAAUAGCUCAUGAUGUCUGUGUUUUCUACCAAAAAGGUAAUGGCUAUGGUUUCAACUUAGCUUGAGAGGAUGAGUGCUUUAGAUUUGGGAUGAAGCUUUUUAGAGAGAGAGAGAGAGAGAGAGAAAGAAAGAGAGAUAGAUAAAAAGGAUGGGUGGCU
rnacentral:lncRNA from 1 species